rnacentral:rRNA from 1 species
UACGUAGGGUGCGAGCGUUGUCCGGAAUUAUUGGGCGUAAAGAGCUCGUAGGCGGUUUGUUGCGUCGACUGUGAAAACCUGGGGCUUAACUCUGGGCUUGCAGUCGAUACGGGCAGACUUGAGUUCGGUAGGGGAGACUGGAAUUCCUGGUGUAGCGGUGAAAUGCGCAGAUAUCAGGAGGAACACCGGUGGCGAAGGCGGCAUCCUGGACCGACACUGACACUGAGGAGCGAAAGCCAGGGGAGCAAACGGG